CUCCGUGCAUGUUAUGGCACCUUUGGGAUGUGUUAGUCAUAAGAAUGAAGCUACUGGUGCUUUGCAGGAAUAUUUUCACUCUGGCUCUCGCAGGAGAGCUCUGACACAGCCCUGCUGUCGGCACGGCUGGGGCGCGUUUGCUCGCUGGUGCCUCCUGAGAUUCCAGACCGCUCCAAAAAAACAGGGGGAAACAUCCAAUUUUUAUUUCCUCAGGGAACACUAAGAAAAUUUUUCUUUCCGAGCCUGUCUCCUGAAACGAGCUCCAGGAGUGGUCACAACCUGCCAUAAAAAUGCCAUGUGCAAGAGAAUAUAUUUAAUAUCGGGCAAGCAGAAUGGAACGAUACGAUCUGUUUGGGGUUGGAAGCUUUUCCAGGCAAAGGAGGAUCUGCUCCAUCACCAUCUGUGCAGCCGCUGGCAGGGGCAGCUCCCCAGCCACACCAAAGGAAUUCCCCGAGCCCAAAAACACCCCAGGCAUCGCCUUUGUGAAGGACAGAACUUCACAAAGUCCAUCCCACUGAUGGAUGACAGAGGGAGGAUCUGCAGCCUGAGAGGAUCCCUUGGGAUGGCCCUGACUGCCUUGGUGACACCAUCUGAAUUACACUUCCCCUUUCAUCAGACUCCUGGCAUCACAAAAAGAGCCUCUUGCCCUGUGGUUCCAGAGCUGGACCUGAUCUGGACACCCAGCAGCAACACCAAGUGAGAUUUCCCGACUGGAGAUGGAUGAAUGAGCCCAACAGUGCCUGGCUCGAGGUGUGAUGUCCCUCCAGAACAGAACAAACCCUGAACUUCCUUCAGAUGAGUGUUUGGAGAUGUUUGAUGUUUGGAGAUGUUUGAUGUUUGGACACAGCCCAGCAGCACUGUCUGGCCUCUGCAUGGGUGGCAUAUUUUGGGGAGGAGGUAUUUUGGGAAACCAGGGCUCAGCACACACCGACCUCUCUCAGGUGGGCUGGGCUGUCUGAAGUGCAUUUCUACCUGAAAGAACGGAGUCAGGGUGAAAACCAGCCUGGGACAUCUCCCCAGAACAACUUGCAGCUUGAUUUUCAGGCCCUUCCUCCUUCAACAAACACCAUGUCCCAAACAAAAUACCUCCAUCAACACCAAAAUCCCUUGGACAAGCCCCUGAACAAGUGGUGUGUACACUUUCAACUGAUAGCUGAUUCCAGCUAGUUGUUGUCCUCAGAGAACAAGAAAAGAGACAGGAAAGUUGGCCCGAGGUCAAUUCCUGCCCUGGGUAGCGCUGUAAUGCAAGAGGAUUUAUGAAUCUUUAAUUGCAGUUGCUUUGCUAUAAAUGCUUAAUGAAAACACCGUGUCCAAGGCUGUCGGUGAUCAGGGGGGUUACAAGGAGGUUAAAUAACCUGCAGGGCAGGAAUCACAAAGGACCCAGCUGGAUUCCUCGUGGAUCUGCUCUGGAGAGGGGCUGCCAGGGCUGCAGGGGUGUGAUGAGGGUGGUGUGAUGAGGGUGUGAUGUGAGUGUGAUGAG
rnacentral:lncRNA from 1 species